rnacentral:rRNA from 1 species
AGUCGUGCGGUAACACUUCGGGUGACGAGCGGCGGACGGGUGCGUAACGCGUGAGAAUCUACCUUUUAGUGGGGGACAACUCGGGGAAACUCGAGCUAAUACCGCAUGUGUCCUACGGGAUAAAGCAGGGGAUCUUCGGACCUUGUGCUAAAAGAUGAGCUCGCGUGAGAUUAGCUUGUUGGUAGGGUAAUGGCCUACCAAGGCGACGAUCUCUAGCUGGUCUGAGAGGAUGAUCAGCCACACUGGGACUGAGACACGGCCCAGACUCCUACGGGAGGCAGCAGUGGGGAAUAUUGGACAAUGGGGGCAACCCUGAUCCAGCAAUUCCGCGUGUGUGAAGAAGGCCUGCGGGUUGUAAAGCACUUUCAGUAGCCAAGAUGGGGUUAUUCGCUAAUAUCGGAUAAUCUUGACAUUAACUACAGAAGAAGCACCGGCUAACUCCGUGCCAGCAGCCGCGGUAAAUACGGAGGGUGCAAAGCGUUAAAUCGGAAUUUACUGGGGCGUAAAAGAGUACGUAGGC